UACAGAGACCUCAAGCGUUAUCCGGAAUCAUUGGGCGUAAAGCGUACCGAUAGGUGGUUUUACAAGUCAGAAGUGAAAUCUCUCAGCUUAACUGGGAGACUGUCUUUUGAAACUGUAAAACUUGAGGGGCAAAGAGGAAGCCGGAACAAACGGUGUAGUAGUGAAAUGCGUUGAUAUCGUUUGGAACACCAAUAGCGUAGGCAGGCUUCUGGGUGCCACCUGACACUGCUAGGACGAAAGCGUGGGUAGCGAAUGGG
rnacentral:rRNA from 1 species